rnacentral:rRNA from 2 species
GAAUAAGGGCUGGGCAAGACCGGUGCCAGCCGCCGCGGUAAUACCGGCAGCCCAAGUGAUGGCCGAUCUUAUUGGGCCUAAAGCGUCCGUAGCUGGCCGCGCAAGUCCAUCGGGAAAUCCACCUGCUCAACAGGUGGGCGCCCGGUAGAAACUGCGUGGCUUGGGACCGGAAGGCGCGACGGGUACGUCCGGGGUAGGAGUGAAAUCCCGUAAUCCUGGACGGACCGCCGAUGGCGAAAGCACGUCGCGAGAACGGAUCCGACAGUGAGGGACGAAAGCCAGGGUCUCGAACCGGAUUAGAUACCCGGGUAGUCCUGGCCGUAAACAAUGUCUGCUAGGUGUGGCUCCCACUACGAGUGGGUGCUGUGCCGUAGGGAAGCCGCUAAGCAGACCGCCUGGGAAGUACGUCCGCAAGGAUGAAACUUA